UAGCCAGACUCCUACGGGAGGCAGCAGUGGGGAAUAUUGCACAAUGGGGGAAACCCUGAUGCAGCGACGCCGCGUGAGUGAAGAAGUCUUUCGGUAUGUAAAGCUCUAUCAGCAGGGAAGAAAAUGACGGUACCUGAGUAAGAAGCCCCGGCUAACUACGUGCCAGCGGCCGCGGUAAUACGUAGGGGGCAAGCGUUAUCCGGAUUUACUGGGUGUAAAGGGGGCGUAGACGGCCAGACAAGUCUGAAGUGAAAAUCCAGCGCUUAACGUUGGAAGUGCUUUGGAAACUGCCGGGCUAGAGUGCAGGAGGGGCAGGCGGAAUUCCUAGUGUAGCGGUGAAAUGCGUAGAUAUUAGGAGGAACACCAGUGGCGAAGGCGGCUUACUGGACUGUAACUGACGUUGAGGCUCGAAAGCGUGGGGAGCAAACAGGAUUAGAUACCCCUGUA
rnacentral:rRNA from 1 species